CGGGACGUAGCGCAGCUUGGUAGCGCGCAGCGUUCGGGACGCUGAGGUCGUCGGUUCGAAUCCGGCCGUCCCGACUA
rnacentral:tRNA from 1 species